rnacentral:tRNA from 2 species
GGCGCCGUAGCAAAGUGGUAAUGCAGUGGACUGCAACUCCGCCAUCGUCGGUUCGAUUCCGACCGGCGCCUCCA